AUGGGAACACUCAGGUUUGCACAGAGGACAUUAUUUGUCAUGGAGUUGUUUACUCUCAGGUUCCUUCCUGUAAUUCCACACACUUUUCAUUGUCUGAGCAGUGUGGAAGAUCAGACAGCUGCAGAAGCUCCUGGCCCUGGUACAGUGGAAGCCAUGGGAGAGAUAAACUCAAGGCAAGAACAAAAGUGAAUACAUCAUAUCUGGUCACUCUGGUCCCUCUGAGGAGAGAAGGUGUAGCAAGGACAUUGCUGGCACAAAAGAAUGUAACAGGGACUUAAGGAGUAAGGGGUACAAGUGGAACAUUUUGCAUGGCCAUUAGAGAACUAUAAAUACUGGUGAUUACUGUAAUAAACUGGCUUUGCAUGCAUAGCAUGGUCCAUGUCCCUUCAAUGACCAUACAGCACUAUAGAAUUUUUAUUUCUGAGUUUUUAUUUUCUUUAUGAGACACCCUUUUUGGGCUUACCAGACUUUUCUGCUUAACAUUACAAAGACCACCACUGAUACCACCAGUUAGUUAUACAGAACAUCUGACCCUGCAGGGUGUUUGUGUCAGUAUCUAUUUCUGAGUUUUUUUGCCAUCUGGUAAGACCCACAUGUUUGAGCCAGCAAGGUGCUUAAAAAUACAUCAAACAACAAGUACAGAUCAGUCUGUCUCCCACCAUAUUGGUACUCAAACUAUUUUAAUACAUUCACAUACAUUCAUUCACACUCAAACUAUUUUAACACAAGGCCUAGGUAGGCUACGUGCCCCCAAGUCUGCUUGACUAAAAAAAGGUUGCUAACCUAUAAGUGACAAUACAAGCACUUAAGCCAAGCAAGAUAUGUAGAAAAAAAAAAAAAGCUGAAACAAGAACAGAAGUGAAAUUGUUGAGUUGGCAGCAGUCACUUGCGGAAAAAUUAACAACUAAAAUAACUCUAAAACUCUGAGAAAAAAAAAUAGAAUAUAGCAACUCAGCAAAACGGGGAUCAUCCUAUUGCAAGGAGCAAUGGAGUCUGGCACUUCCCCGUGUGAUUGCCAUCUGCCUGAGCAGCAGAAAUCCAGUGGUUACCUGCAUCAGAGGUGGUGAGGGUAUUAAUGCUUAGGCUAAUAGCACAUUACUCACAGCCAUUUAUUGUGUGUACAAUUCAGC
rnacentral:lncRNA from 1 species